rnacentral:lncRNA from 1 species
GCUGGCUUUAUCAUUUGAGGAUCUGAUUCCAAUCUGAUGAUGGUAGGGGGCCACUAUUUAUUUGAGCCAAUAAUUUCUAGAGCAGAUCUUCGUGCAAUUUGAACUGAAGUUGUACGUGCAUGGAAGGUGUUGGGAGCAAACCAUAGUUGUUGAAGAUGACUCAACUAUUGUGUAAUAAUAGUAAAGUAAUACAUGAAUGUUAAAAAUAACAUUUCGUAUUGACAUGUAAGAUUAUAGGAUAAUCUCCUACAAUAUCAUAUAUCAAAUUUUAUUUUUUAUAUUUUUUAAAUAAAAAAUAUAAAUAUAAAUAAUAUGAUAAAAAUAAAAAAUAUUUUAAAUUAUUAUAAUUUUAUUUUAUUUUAAAAAAAUAAAAAAUAGAUAAAAUUACGAUCGUCAAAAACUAAAAUCUUUUGCCCUCUUUCCAUCCCACCGCCAACAUCGCUUCCAAAACUUGUGUUUUCUACCUCCAACAAUCCGCCAUCAUCCCCUUUUGCCCUUGACGAUGAGGCAGAGUUAGUGGCGGUGGUGAACCCCACGUUGUCUCCCCACAUAUGUCCAGCAUCAUUUACGUGCUCUUCCCUCUUUUCUCCACCUCGAGCAUUACUGCGCUCCCUUAGCUAAUGCACACCCACCUGCCCUCCCCAACCCUCAGCCGCUUCCUCGACUCUCACAAUUUAGGAGGUAAGGCUGGGUGGCCUCCAGGGUGAUGCUAGGCC